UAGAAUAUUAAGAAUUAUGUUCUUUAAAUUUAAGAAACUUUGGCGGUGUUUUAGUCUAGUUAGAGGAACCUGUUUUUUAAACGAUACAACACGCAUUAUUUUACUUAUUUUAGUUCAUCCGCUUGUAUACCGUCAUUAUAAGAUAAUUUAUGAGAAAAUAUUAUUGAGAUCAUAUUAUUGAAUAUAUUAGAUCAAGGUGCAGCUUAUAAGUAAGUAAAUAUGGGUUACAAUAAAAUUUAUUUAAUAUGAAUUAAGUAUUUAAAUAUAUUUAUGAAGGAGGAUUUAAUUGUAA
rnacentral:rRNA from 1 species